CCUACGGGGGGCAGCAGUCGAGAAUCAUUCACAAUGGGGGAAACCCUGAUGGUGCGACGCCGCGUGGGGGAAUGAAGGUCUUCGGAUUGUAAACCCCUGUCAUGUGGGAGCAAAUUAAAAAGAUAGUACCACAAGAGGAAGAGACGGCUAACUCUGUGCCAGCAGCCGCGGUAAUACAGAGGUCUCAAGCGUUGUUCGGAAUCACUGGGCGUAAAGCGUGCGUAGGCUGUUUCGUAAGUCGUGUGUGAAAGGCGCGGGCUCAACCCGCGGACGGCACAUGAUACUGGGAGACUAGAGUAAGGGAGGGGGAACCGGAAUUCUCGGUGUAGCAGUGAAAUGCGUAGAUAUCGAGAGGAACACUCGUGGCGAAGGCGGGUUCCUGGACAUUAACUGACGCUGAGGCACGAAGGCCAGGGGAGCGAAAGGGAUUAGAUACCCGUGUAGUC
rnacentral:rRNA from 1 species